AAAGCCAUCAUGCUUAGUUAUGCAAAUGGAUUGCACAAGACAGUCUCUUCCCAAACAGUCGCAUGGCUAAGCGGCAUAACAAGAAACUGGGAAAAGAAACCAGAUGCCCGGUGAAAUGAAGUGAAUGAGUCCAGCUGGUACAGCAGAUCGCUGGAACCAGGAACAGGAUUAGCUUUUGUUUUGCUGGAGCCAGUCCCAUAUACGUUGCAGUUUGUUUCCUUUUCAGGGAAAGCUUGUGAACAGAGCAUCUUAGUUCAGUCUCAAGAAACAUAAAGGGUUCAAGCGUGUCAAAGGGAGGGUGGCCCAGCUGUCCAUCAAGUCCCUCUGAAGAUCCCUGAGGUUCCCAAGUGACCGAAUCCAGUACCAGUGAUCAGGAGGAAUGUUGCAAAACACUGGUGUGCCCAGCAUGAGGUAGAAGCUGUAGGAAGCUCCAAAUUGCCCCAGUCCAGCAGUGAACUCUGGCAUCUCUGAUCCUGUGCUCCGCCUGGGUGGCUACAAAGGCUCAAAUCAAGGGCACCAAGUUAGCACUGAGGAUUUCGUACCAAUCGUCCUGUGCUUCGCCUCGAAUACGCACGUAUCUGGCUUUGCACGUGCUGAGAACUUGAUGCUAUCCAGUUCCCUUCGCAGAACCACAGUAUGUUUUUUAUUUUGGGGAUGGUAAAUGCAGUCACACUGAAAUCACUGGAUUCCUCUUAAGUCAAAUUGAAUUGUGCUGGUUGUGAGGAGUAAAAUACAGCAGAUGUUCUGUAUGUGGUUUUUGUGUCUGCUGUAAGCAGCAUUUAAAACCCUCUGUUUCUGUCUUGACUCUGUUGGUGCUGAGGAUUAAGUAACCUUCCUUUGGAGUGUUACUUGCCAUGGAAAACAAAAUGCUGAAAUUGGCUCUUGUUAGAGGGCCACUCGCUCUGUUGGUUGUCUGUGCUAUUACUCCCUCUAUGUAAACAAUCAGCAUCCAAAACGUAGGGUCAGGAGUUGUCCAUUUUGUAGUUCUGCUGUUCUUGCCCGCAGAACUUCUGAGAUUCCCUUUUAGAAGUAACAGUGUGCAAGUCUGAAAAGAAACUGAAGUUAUUUACUAGUUAGAGAUUUUAAACAAAU